rnacentral:rRNA from 1 species
UACGAAGGGGGCUAGCGUUGCUCGGAAUUACUGGGCGUAAAGCGCACGUAGGCGGCUUUCUAAGUCGGGGGUGAAAUCCUGGAGCUCAACUCCAGAACUGCCUUCGAUACUGGAAAGCUCGAGUCCGGGAGAGGUGAGUGGAACUGCGAGUGUAGAGGUGAAAUUCGUAGAUAUUGGGAAGAACACCAGUGGCGAAGGCGGCUCACUGGCCCGUAACUGACGCUGAGGUGCGAAAGCGUGGGGAGCAAACAGG